rnacentral:tRNA from 1 species
GGCGGCGUAGCUCAGUGGUAGAGCACAGGAAUCAUAAUCCUUUGGUCGGGGGUUCAAAUCCCUCCGCCGCUACCA